rnacentral:rRNA from 1 species
CCUACGGGAGGCAGCAGUGGGGAAUUUUGGACAAUGGGCGCAAGCCUGAUCCAGCAAUGCCGCGUGAGUGAAGAAGGCCUUCGGGUUGUAAAGCUCUUUUGUCAGGGAAGAAAAGGGUCUGGCUAAUAUCUAGGCCUCAUGACGGUACCUGAAGAAUAAGCACCGGCUAACUACGUGCCAGCAGCCGCGGUAAUACGUAGGGUGCAAGCGUUAAUCGGAAUUACUGGGCGUAAAGCGUGCGCAGGCGGUUUUGUAAGACUGUCGUGAAAUCCCCGGGCUCAACCUGGGAAUGGCGAUGGUGACUGCAAGGCUAGAGUUUGGCAGAGGGGGGUAGAAUUCCACGUGUAGCAGUGAAAUGCGUAGAUAUGUGGAGGAACACCGAUGGCGAAGGCAGCCCCCUGGGUCAAAACUGACGCUCAUGCACGAAAGCGUGGGGAGCAAACAGGAUUAGAUACCCUGGUAGUCCACGCCCUAAACGAUGUCUACUAGUUGUCGGGUCUUAAUUGACUUGGUAACGCAGCUACGCGUGAGUAGACCGCCGUCGGGAGGUACGGUCGGUCGAGUUAAGUUAAACGUUAAAGUUAAGUUAAGUUAGUUACGGCGUUGAGACGUUAGCCGACGGACGACGACGAGGGAGGAGG